rnacentral:rRNA from 1 species
UACGGGGGGAGCAAGCGUUGUUCGGAUUUACUGGGCGUAAAGGGCGCGUAGGCGGCCACCGCAAGUCGGUUGUGAAAUCUCUGGGCUUAACCCAGAAAGGUCAACCGAUACUGCGGGGCUAGAGUGCAGAAGGGGCAACUGGAAUUCUCGGUGUAGCGGUGAAAUGCGUAGAUAUCGAGAGGAACACCAAUAGCGAAGGCAGCUCGCUGGGACGGUACUGACGCUGAGGCGCGAAAGCGUGGGGAGCGAACAGG